rnacentral:rRNA from 1 species
GAUGAACGCUGGCGGCGUGCCUAAUACAUGCAAGUCGAGCGAACAGACGAGGAGCUUGCUCCUCUGACGUUAGCGGCGGACGGGUGAGUAACACGUGGAUAACCUACCUAUAAGACUGGGAUAACUUCGGGAAACCGGAGCUAAUACCGGAUAAUAUAUUGAACCGCAUGGUUCAAUAGUGAAAGACGGUUUUGCUGUCUCUUAUAGAUGGAUCCGCGCCGCAUUAGCUAGUUGGUAAGGUAACGGCUUACCAAGGCAACGAUGCGUAGCCGACCUGAGAGGGUGAUCGGCCACACUGGAACUGAGACACGGUCCAGACUCCUACGGGAGGCAGCAGUAGGGAAUCUUCCACAAUGGGCGAAAGCCUGACGGAGCAACGCCGCGUGAGUGAUGAAGGUCUUCGGAUCGUAAAACUCUGUUAUUAGGGAAGAACAAAUGUGUAAGUAACUAUGCACGUCUUGACGGUACCUAAUCAGAAAGCCACGGCUAACUACGUG